UAUAUUAGAGAGGAAGCAGUAAACCUUCAUUAUGACGCAUUUUUAAGACAGUAGUUUUGGAAUUGUUAGUUAGAUUACUUGUUGGUUAUCACUGCAUAGUCGGAACUAGAAGCACAAGCAUUUCGCUACACUCGCAUUAACAUCUGCUAACCAUGUGUAUGUGACAAAUAAAAUUUGAUUUGAUUUUUGCUUCGUAGCACAAAUACAGAUGAAACAGAGUCUUACAGGAGGUAUGGGUAAGGCCAUUUCAUAAAUACAGAGUCUGACAGGAGGCAUGGGUAAGGCCAUUCAUAAAUACAGAUGAAACAGAGUCUUACAGGAGGCAUGGGUAAGGCCAUUUCAUAAAUACAGAUGAAACAGAGUCUGACAGGAGGCAUGGGUAAGGCCAUUUCAUAAAUACAGAGUCUUACAGGAGGCAUGGGUAAGGCCAUUUCAUAAAUACAGAUAAAUACAGAGUCUAACAGGAGGCAUGGGUAAGGCCAUUUCAUAAAUACAGAGUCUUACAGGAGGCAUGGGUAAGGCCAUUUCAUAAAUACAGAGUCUAACAGGAGGCAUGGGUAAGGCCAUUUCAUAAAUACAGAGUCUAACAGGAGGCAUGGGUAAGGCCAUUCAUAAAUACAGAUUCUUACAGGAGGCAUGGGUAAGGCCAUUUCAUAAAUACAGAGUCUUACAGGAGGCAUGGGUAAGGCCAUUCAUAAAUACAGUGCAUUCGGCAAGUAUAUCUUCGAGACUUCUUGGGUAUGAGGCUACAAGUUUGGCACACCAGUAUUCAGGGAGUUUCUCCCAUUCUUCUCUGCAGAUCCUCUCAAGCUCUGUCAGGUUAGAGGGGACCUGCACAGCAAUUUUCAGGUCUCCAGAGAUGUUCGAUCGGGUUCAAGUCUGGGCCCCUCAUGGACAUUCAUAGACUUGUCCCGAAGCCACUCCUGCGUUAUCUUGGCUGUGAGCUUUGGGUCGUUGUCCUGUUGGAAGGUGAACCUUCGCCCCCAGUCAGAGGUCCUGAGCGCUCUGGAGCAGGUUUUCAUCAAGGAUCUCUGUGUAUUUUGCUCCGUUCAUCUUUCCCUCGAUCCUGACUAGUCUCCCAGUGCCUGUCACUGAAAAACAUCCCCACAGCAUGAUGCUGCCUCCACCAUGCUUCACCAUAGGGAUGGUGCCAGGAUUCCUCCAGAUGUGACACUUGGCAUUCAGGCCAAAGUAUGCAAUCUUGGUUUCAUCCGACCAGAGAAUAUUGUUUCUCACGGUCUGAGAGUCCUUUAGGUGCCAUUUGGCAAACUCCAAGCGGGCCAUCAUGUGCCUUUUGCUGAGGAGUGGCUUCCGCCUGGCCACCCUACCAUAAAGGCCUGAUAGGUGGAGUGCUGCAGAGAUGGUUGUCCUACUGGAAGGUUUUAUCUCCAGAGGAACAUUGGGUUCUUGGUCACCUCUGUGACCAAGACCCUUCUCCCCAGAUUGCUCAGUUUGGCCGGGCGGCAAGCUCUAGGAAGAGUCUGUGGUUCCAAACUUCCAUUUAAGAAUGAUGGAGGCCACUGUGUUCUUGGGGACCUUCAAUGCUGCAGACAUUUUUUGGUACCCUUCCCCAGACCUGUGCCUCGACACAAUCCUGCCUCGGAGCUCUACGGACAAUUCCAUCGACCUCAUGGCUUGGUGGCUUGGUGCUCUGACAUUCACUGUCAACUUUGGGACAUUUACAUUUACAUUUAAGUGAUUUAGCAGACGCUCUUAGGACCUUAAAUAUAGACAGGUGUGUUGCCUUUCCAAAUCAUAUCCAAUCAAUAGACUUUACCACAGGUGGUCUCCAAUUGUUUGUUAUUUAAACCUUUAAACCUUUAACUAGGCAAGUCAGUUAAGAACAAAUUCUUAUUUACAAUGACGGCCUACCAAAAGGCCUCCUGCAGGGACGGGGGCCUGGGAUUUAAAACAAAUACAUAUUAUAGCAAAACACACAUCACAACGAGAGAAACCACAACAUAGAGACCUGAGACAACAAUAUAGAAAAGGCAGUAACAUAUGACAACACAGCAUGGUAGCGACACAAAACAGGGUACAAACACUGGCCACCCCACAUAGCCCGGUUCCUCUCUAGGUUUCUUCCGAGGUUUUGGCCUUUCUAGGGAGUUUUUCCUAGCCACCGUGCUUUUACACCUGCAUUGUUUGCUGUUUGGGGUUUUCGGCUGGGUUUCUGUACAGCACUUUGAGAUAUCAGCUGAUGUACGAAGGGCUAUAUAAAUACAUUUGAUUUGAUUUGAUUAUUGGGCACAGACAACAGCACAAAGGGCAAGAAGGUAGAGACAACACCAAUCAAGUUGUAGAAACAUCUCAAGGAUGAUCAAUGGAAACAGGAUGCACCCGAGAUCUAUUUCGAGUCUCAUAGCAAAGGGUCUGAAAACUUAUGUAAAUUAGGAUGUUUUUUUUACAACAACUGUUUUUGCUUCAUCAUUAUGGGGUAUUGUGUGUAAAUGGAGGAGGGGAAAAACAACAAGCGAAUCCAUUUUAGAAUAAGGCUGUAAUGUAACAAAAUGUGAAAAAAGGGCAGGGGUCCGAUAUCUCUCCGAAUGCACUGUAGGGCAUGGAGGGCCCUUUGGGACACAAGGUACAGAAACCUCAAUCAACUGCUCCCUUUUGAGCUGGUUUAUAGAAAAAGUGUACUGGGAUCAAAACUUGGUUCAAAUACUAUUCAACAUCUUACGAAUCAUUUCAGCGUUUUCUCUGGUCUGUCUGGAGUGCAGGAUGGGGGUUGCACUUUUGCAACCAUUUCUAUUGCUUCCAUUGGAGCAGGCAAGCUCAAUCAAGGCCAGAUAAAGUAUUACAAAUGAUUUCAAAUAGGAACUAAAGUAUGAUUUGGCACCUAUAAUCACAUAAACAGUUGAAGUCGGAAGUUUACAUAGACCUAGGUAGGAGUCAGUAAAACUUGUUUUUCAACCCCUCCACACAUUUCUUGAUAUCAAACUAUAGUUUUGGCAAGUCGGUUAGGACAUCUACUUUGUGCAUCAUCAAA